UACCUUUGGAUGUAAACAACGGCAAUACACUGGAAAGCCAACAGGCAUAACCCAAAAUGGAUUUGUUGGAAGGAUUAUUUAUUUCAGUAAUACUGGCAUCUGUGACUCAAGUACAGAAUGUACUUGCAGAGUGUCCUAUCACUUCCGUAACGUCUCCUUCUGCAUCAGCCUUAACAGUGAAGUGGACAAAUUAUACGGGAGCCACAAACUACUUUCUAGAUUUAAGUAUUGUAAAUGACACAAGAUUUGCUCCAGUUGUGG